rnacentral:rRNA from 1 species
AUACGGAGGGUCCGAGCGUUAUCCGGAAUCAUUGGGUUUAAAGGGUCCGUAGGCGGGAAUCUAAGUCAGUGGUGAAAUCUUGCAGCUCAACUGUAAAAUUGCCAUUGAUACUGGAUUUCUUGAAUUAGUGUGAAGUGGUUAGCAUGUGUAGUGUAGCGGUGAAAUGCAUAGAUAUUACACAGAAUACCAAUUACGAAAGCAGAUCACUAACACUAUAUUGACGCUAAGGGACGAAAGCGUGGGGAGCGAACAGGAUUAGAAACCCCGGUAGUCC